AAAUUGAAGAGUUUGAUCAUGGCUCAGAUUGAACGCUGGCGGCAGGCCUAACACAUGCAAGUCGAGCGGUAGCACAGAGAGCUUGCUCUCGGGUGACGAGCGGCGGACGGGUGAGUAAUGUCUGGGAAACUGCCUGAUGGAGGGGGAUAACUACUGGAAACGGUAGCUAAUACCGCAUAAUGUCGCAAGACCAAAGUGGGGGACCUUCGGGCCUCAUGCCAUCAGAUGUGCCCAGAUGGGAUUAGCUAGUAGGUGGGGUAACGGCUCACCUAGGCGACGAUCCCUAGCUGGUCUGAGAGGAUGACCAGCCACACUGGAACUGAGACACGGUCCAGACUCCUACGGGAGGCAGCAGUGGGGAAUAUUGCACAAUGGGCGCAAGCCUGAUGCAGCCAUGCCGCGUGUGUGAAGAAGGCCUUCGGGUUGUAAAGCACUUUCAGCGGGGAGGAAGGCGAUAAGGUUAAUAACCUUGUCGAUUGACGUUACCCGCAGAAGAAGCACCGGCUAACUCCGUGCCAGCAGCCGCGGUAAUACGG
rnacentral:rRNA from 1 species